AGCGGGGCCCAUCCCGUAAGGCUAAAUACUCCCGAGAGACCGAUAGCGAACCAGUACUGUGAAGGAAAGGUGAAAAGCACCUCGAACAGAGGAGUGAAAUAGUCCCUGAAACCGUCUGCCUACAAGCGGUCGGAGCACAUUAAAGUGUGACGGCGUGCCUUUUGCAUAAUGAACCUACGAGUUACUUUCUCCGGCAAGGUUAAGGGCUUCAGGCCCGGAGCCGAAGCGAAAGCGAGUCUUAAUAGGGCGUGAUAGUCGGAGUGAGUAGACGCGAAACCAAGUGAUCUACCCUUGGUCAGGAUGAAGGUUGGGUAACACCAACUGGAGGUCCGAAUGGGUAUACGUUGAAAAGUGUUCCAAUGAACUGAGGGUAGGGGUGAAAGGCUAAUCAAACUUGGAGAUAGCUCGUACUCCCCGAAAUGCAUUUAGGUGCAGCCUUUAUUUAGUAUAGCAUGAGGUAGAGCGACUGAUUGGAUGCGAGGGCUUCACCGCCUAUCAAGUCCAGAUAAACUCCGAAUGCGUGCUAUAUAUUGAUAAGGAGUGAGGGCGCGGGUGCUAAGGUCCGCGUCCGAGAGGAGAAGAAUCCAGACCAUCAGCUAAGGUCCCCAAAUAACAGUUAAGUUGAACUAACGAAGUCGGACUGCAGAGACAGCUAGGAUGUUGGCUUGGAAGCAGCCAUUCAUUUAAAGAGUGCGUAACAGCUCACUAGUCGAGGAGUCCGGCGUGGAUAAUACUCGGGCAUAAACUGUUUACCGAAGCUAUGGAUGUAGAAAUACAUGGUAGGGGAGCAUUCCAACGGCGUCGAAGGUGAAGGAUGACCUUUGCUGGAGCUUUUGGAAACGCAAAUGUAGGUAUAAGUAACGAUAAAGGAGGUGAGAAACCUCCUCGCCGAAAGACUAAGGUUUCCUGAUCAACGUUAAUCGGAUCAGGGUAAGUCGGGACCUAAGGUUAAGCCGAACGGCGAUACCGAUGGAAGAAUGGUUUAAUAUUCCCAUACUACUUUAUGGAGCGAUGUGGAGACGGAGAAGUGAAAGUCCUGCCAUCUGACGGAAUAGGUGGUUGAAGAGUGUAGAUGUAGAUUCCUGUAGGCAAAUCCGCAGGGAGAGUCGACCUUGACAGUAUGCCGCGUGCUUGCACAAGGCAAAAUGGACGUAAUCAGGCUCCCAAGAAAAUCCGCUAAGCAUAUUCAUAAAGUACCCGUACCGUAAACGGACACACGUAGUUGGGUUGAAAAUACUGAGGCGCUCGAGUGAUUCACGGUUAAGGAACUAGGCAAAUUGACCCUGUAACUUCGGGAUAAAGGGUCCCUACUGAGAGGUAGGGCGCAGAGAAUAGGUCCAGGCAACUGUUUAACAAAAACACAUGGCUGUGCGAAAUAGAAAUAUGAAGUAUACAGCCUGACACCUGCCCGGUGCUGGAAGGUUAAGAGGAGAGCUCAUCGCAAGAGAAGGCUUGAAUUGAAGCCCCAGUAAACGGCGGCCGUAACUAUAACGGUCCUAAGGUAGCGAAAUUCCUUGUCGGGUAAGUUC
rnacentral:rRNA from 1 species